CACCCUCAGGAUUCCAGGAAACGUCAGUAGUUUCGUUUCGUGCUGCUUUGGUAUCUGUGGACAACAAACAAACCGUGAGCUCUCCCUGGCCAACAACCACGACAGCCUACUCACUCUGUAAUUGAUCGUUUAAACCAACGUUCCUGUGGAUACGUUUGAGAGCGCCGAACAAUAUUUCUGUUUAGAUGUCUCCCAACUCGCGCUCCCUCGGGACCCAGGCGUUGUAGUCAGCGUUGUACCAGUCUGCGGCGGCAAUGGCAGUGGCGCAGAUAACAGCCGCGGAUCCUGCAGCCCGUCGCCUUGGCUCUGUCGUGGAAUCCCGUCUCUCACCGCUAUUUAUAUACCACAGAGAUGCCGCACUGCGGGACGAUGAAACUGCGCCGCUACGCUGGAGAAGGCCAGCGUGAAACCUACCUGGUCCAGGUACAGCUGGCGACACGGUUCGGAGUCCAGGUCCAGGUUGCACUCGCCUUGAAGGGCAAGACUAUAUUUUAGCUCACACACAGCCCAUUUCUUCAGUACCAUUUUGACACCUCAGGUUGCCAGAUAUGAAACAAAUUGGCAAGCAAACAGCAUGCUACAGCCAUGGAAGCAAGCAAAGGAAUUGGAUCAAUAGCGAUAAAGUUAGAUUCUACUCAGCCUUAAAAGCCUCGGCAUCCCUCUUAAAACCUCCAUGACCAGAGACGUGGUAAAACACGAGUAAAUAUUGGCCAUUGUGCCAUCAGUAGCCAUACCAGAAAAAAAGGAACACUAUAAAUGAGUGUCAACAUUCAUUGUUCUCUAAAUACACUGUACAUUUUGCUCAGCUCUUACAGGUAUUUCACCUACAGAAGCUUUGCAAAAUUAUGUUGGUGCUUUCUGGGGCGGAGAAUAAGGGUGGUACUGCCCUCCUGCAUCGUGCUAUGGAUACGGAAAGAGUUCCCUGACGCUCAAGGAAGCAUUUGAAAAUCCCUCCUAUGUGGAAAGAGAAAGAAAGGCCAGUGCAUAAAGGGAAGAAAGGUGUCCAAGUGAAGUAGGGGAAAGAAAAGGAGGACACCGUUAAACAUUUAAUUAAACAUACAAACCACUCAUCAUCAGAAGAGUACCAAUGUUUAUACCUUGUCUGUGUGGAACUAGACAUGGGUUCAGUUACAGUAUGUGAAAUGCAGAAAAUGGCCCAUGCUGCCGGUAGGCUACCUUAGGACAGGCUAUUUAUGUUUUGCCAGAAAUAUGACUUUGAUUAAUGACGGCAGACCAUAGGUGUUUGACCUAGAUUUAGUCUGUCGUCAUCAUUUUUACUGACAGGCUAAUUUUGAAGUCGUUAUUUAUUAUGGUUAUGAAUAUGAAUCAUG
ensembl:lncRNA